CCUACGGGUGGCAGCAGUGGGGGAUAUUGGACAAUGGGGGGAACCCUGAUCCAGCGACGCCGCGUGAGUGAAGAAGUAUUUCGGUAUGUAAAGCUCUGUCAGCAGGGAAGAAAGAAAUGACGGUACCUGACCAAGAAGCCCCGGCUAACUACGUGCCAGCAGCCGCGGUAAUACGUAGGGGGCAAGCGUUAACCGGAAUUACUGGGUGCAAAGGGAGCGUAGACGGUUAAGUAAGUCCGGGGUGAAGGGCCGGGGCCCAACCGCGGAACUGCUCUGGAAGCUCGUGAACUUGAGUUGAGGAGAGGGAGGCAGAAGUCCAGGUGUAGCGGUGAAAUGCGUAGAGAUUUGGAGGAACACCGGUGGCGAAGGCG
rnacentral:rRNA from 1 species